rnacentral:lncRNA from 1 species
CGUUGCUUGUGUGUUGGUUGUAGGUUCUGUAUUACUUGGCGGAAAGCCGUGAGUAGUGGCGGUGCGGAAGUGCGGCUUUGGCCUCGGCGAGCUCUGGUACUAGAGAAUCUGCGUUGUGUGACCCGUGCUUUCUUGAGAACCCGGCGGUGGUGACAAUUGAAAUAUCGAGGUGGCCUAGCGCCUCGGCAGCGAAGUUCUGCGAACCGCGAUGUGGCGUCGCCGUGUCCGAUUUUGCUUAACGGACAUCGAAGGAUGUGCUGCUCGCUGCAAGUCAUGUAAAUGCAACUGCGUCGACCGCCCACUGUUCAGCGCUGAAUGUGUGUUUGGUGUGCUGUGCUUGAAACGAGUGGUGCAGCCGUGCAGCGGGGGUGGCGGAGGAGCAGAGUGGCUUAGGGUUUGCGCGUUCACAGACAUGUGCUCCCUUCUUGGUCUCAUUAGCGGCUGUCGCGGGACUGUGGUUGGUAACACUGAACUUAGUGUCACACAUUACUUCCCCCCUCUCCUUUGGCUUCUGGAUUGGAUUGGCGCGGCUUGCUACGUGCUUGCGCGCGCUUUUCCGAGCGCAGAUUGAUGUGCGCCUGGUUUCUGCACUAGGUAUUUACACCAUCACUUUUCCGAGCGCAGAUUGGUGUGCGUCUGGUUUUUGCACUAGGCUCUUGUACGAUCACUUGUCGCUGCUUUCCUUUUCUCUGGUUUGAUUCGGCGCGGCUAGGUGCAGGCGCGCAUAUUUGGUGUGCGCCUGCUUUCUUGCGCUGGUCUUCGAACACAUCGCUCGCUGCUCGCGCUUAUAUGUAAGAAAACGCUGCGCCGCUGGCGUACCGUGUACGUAAGCGAGCAGCAAUGCCGGGAAACAUUCAUACAAAAGCAAAGGGUCAGAACACUGCGCUUUGUUUUUCAUUACUUUGUCAUGUACCUUCACACUGGGUAGCGCCGAGCGAUCGCUUCUAACAAACGCAGAAAUGAGUCUUUGCAGCGCGUGUGGCCAUUAAUUGACUACCCAACACAGCCAUGUGAGGUGCGACUCCAGGCGGAGAGGAGGUGGCGCUUCACUUUCUGCAUGCCAAUAACUUUCCAUUUUUUGCGUGUGAACGCCCGUGAUCGGGUCCACAAAUUUCAUGCUGUCUGGUUUAGUUUCCCAUUGCAGAUUGAGGCUCACUCCGUUAGCAUCCACUAAGUUCGGGAUGCAGUUGAAUGCGGCCCAUUCAUCACUGUGGAUGGUGGUCCCCGGUUCAACGUUGGCUGCAAUAAUGGGGCCUAGCGUCGCCGCGUCUCGUCUGUCGACCUUGAAUAGUCGGAACUGCCCGGUGGUCACGCAGGUCAUGCCGAAUACCGAUGGUCCAAGGUCUGCAA